AAAAACAUGGCCUUUUGUUAUUAAAUAUAAGGUCUAACCUGCCCAAUGAUUUAAUUUAAUGGCCGCGGUAUAUUAACUGUGCUAAGGUAGCAUAAUCACUUGUCUUUUAAUUAAAGGCUAGAAUGAAUGGUUGGACGAGGUAUUUUCUUUCUUUAAUUUAGUUUAUGAAUUUAAUUUUUUAGUUAAAAAGCUAAAAUUUAUUUGAGGGACGAGAAGACCCUAUAGAUCUUUAUAUAUUUUAUUAUUAUAUAUUUUUAGUAUAAUCAAUUGUUUUAAUAAUAAAAUUUAUUUAAUUGGGGUGAUUGUAGAAUUUAAAUUAACUUCUAUUUUUUUAUUCAUUAAUUAUUGUCUUUUUGAUCCAAUUUUAUUGAUUAUAAGAUUAAGUUACCUUAGGGAUAACAGCGUAAUUUUUUUGGAGAGCUCAUAUCGAUAAAGAAGUUUGCGACCUCCAUGUUGGAUUAAAAUAAGUUUUAGGUGU
rnacentral:rRNA from 1 species